GGACAGCGGUGCGUCCUCUUCAGUCAACAGGUGGCUCUAACCGGAACUUUGCUCAACUGCACUCGUCCAAUCACAGGUCGCUACGUCAGUGUGUACAAGGCUGCUAACAAGGUUCUCACCAUCUGCGAGAUGUUUGUCUUCGGGACGAAGCUCGACUUUUCUGGUACGUACCAACUAGUGCAGGACAACUUCCGCCUCAAUUCUUCCGUUGUGACGUCACUAACAACGCCCUCGCCCAUUGGCUGCGCUGUGAAGUGUACCAGUGACGUCACGUGCCUCGCUUUCAACGUCAUGGCGUCAGGAACAAGUUCACGCGGUGUUGCCUGCGAACUUCUGGGACUUGCAGAGUUUAGCCUGACACUUCAAGCCCACACCGGAUGGAGAGCUUACAGGCGCGUGGUGAAGUGAUGAAGGGAAGUAAUGGAGAAACACAAUCGUUAGGAUAUGGACCCUGACACAAACUUCACUUUACGUACUUUCAUCAACUUUCUUUCUGAAAUUUCAUUUUCCUUGAAUGCCAUAUUUCAGGUAUUUUUUACAUGUUUGACGGAUUAAUUAAUGUUAGUAGAUGUAUAAGCGAAAGUUAUGAUCUCUAAUUCGCUCUUAUUCAUGUCUUCUUUUACCGGUAUUUUUUAAUUAGUUCAUUUACCUAGGUGUAUGCAUUCACUGAAUGUGUUUACUGUGGUAAUAUACCAAAAAAAAAUUCCAACAAUAAGCAGGAAGUGCUAAGUGACAGACUUGCUUACACACUGCUAUAUCCAAGUCCGUUGUUGGUGAACAGAGAGCCAGGUAUGCAAAGAUCUUUAAUCCAGCUUCCAGCUUGUAACACCUGGAUCAUAACCUUCGUGCUUGUGAAUCCAAUAGGCGUUUGCUGGCAUGAAUAUUGUCAGUUAAUUCAAUGGUAAAUAGUCCUAGCAUGGGUAGCGAACCAGCGAGUAAAAUCAACACAGGACAUGUCUCCUUGUCAGACGAUGAUCACCCUUUCUCCUCUUUGCCAGAGCUACUUUCUUGACGGAAAAUAAAUUCAACCUGACCCUCACUUUUGAAUUUUGAUUGGCAUUUAACUGACUUUCCACAGUUUCAUCCUUUUUUAUCCAACUGUCUUGCACUAAGCUCACCUUAUGUCCAACGAUAAGAGUCUUGUUGUCAAUCUACGCUUUUGCACACGAAAUUCGUGUCCUGAUUAAUGAAUGUGUGUAAGUUUUAAUCUUUUGAAUAUUGACACAAAAUUGCUUGCAUAUUUUGAUAGUUGUAUUCAUUCUUUAUGUAACUCAUUCUAUUGACCGACAUUGGCUGACCUAUGUUGGUAAUAACAGUUAGUCGUCAAUCAUGUUAUAGCUGACAAGCCGCAAACCACAUUUAACUCUUAAAUGAAGGUAACUUGUUAGUUUGUAGCUUAAUUAUGGAAAUACAUCUCCUUUGGUUCUUAUCUCGAUUUCUUCUUCCUUUUGAUCAAAACGCUAAAAAAUAAAUUAAACUAGAAACUGUUAUUGAAAUUUGUUUUACUGUUUUUGUAACGGAGGAAAUCGAUAAAUAUAAGUUAUGAAUGCAGUCACUUAAAAAAUUAGAAAGGGGAAAAAAAAACCUUCUUAUUAACAAUGUUUGCUUACAAAAUUAAAGAAAGAUAGCUUCCUGCAAGACAAGAGUCAAAGCAGUCUCCUUCGCUUACCUCCCUUUACAGAUCCCCCCCCACACACACACACACGUCACUCCCAACGUCACAUCUGACUUGCUGCGCAUGUCACAAACCUGACAGUUGUUUUUCAGAACAGAGAUAACGAGGAGAAAAUAAAAUAAUCAGGAUGGCACUGUAAGGAUGUCCCCCAUGUCGCGCUUGCUAAAUGCAAAGUAACAGCGAAGACUCAAUGAGUUUGUCUAAACACAUUUCUCAUCCUACAGUUUUUUCUACCGUGGUAGGAUAGAACAAUGAUGAUGUUAGCGUGUGCUGGUCUUUGUGGAAGAUUUACUUUGCCUUAAUUGACUAGUUCAUGGCCUGCCUUGUCUUAUUUUUGAUGAGAUGGUGGCCACACCAGCGGCGAUGUUAAAAGUGAGGAUACUGUGAACACGGUUUUAUCUUGUAUUCCAUCUCUACCACUCAAGAGAUGAUGAACCUGAGGCAAAUCAUGUUUGUGUGAUCACAGAAUGAGACCAUUUCAUCCAUGGCUGAGUCAAUCCAGGUUGACCGCCAUCAGAGACAGUUUGUGAAGACUUCACUAGCACCGAGGGCUGAUAUAUCAACACAAUGACACACCUACUUGGUAAACCUUUCUUCACACACCCGGACAGUCUUCACAACACAAAAAAGUUGUUUUGUUUCUACCUGUAUUUCGUCUCAGCUGUUUUUGCUUCUGAGAAUGUGGCGCUGAGAAAGCCGGCUCGUCACAUUUCUACUGCAGUCCUACACCCAUACGCAACAGCUGACAAGGCCGUGGAUGGCAACACCGAUGGUGACUUUUUUCAGCACUCCUGUAGCCACACUAAUGACACCUACAACAACUGGUGGAAGGUGGACCUGGUGGGCUUCUACAACAUCACAGCGUGCAGCUCUUCACUAGGACUGAUUGUGCCUCAUCAAGAUUACAAAACUUCGAAGUGCGUGUAUCUUGACCUUGACCUACGACCUUUCCGUCCGUUGAAGGACAGCGGUGCAUCUUCUUCAGUCAACAAGUGGCUUUAACCGGAAGUUUGCUCAACUGCACUCGUCCAAUCACAGGUCGCUUCGUCAGUCUGUACAAGGCUGCCGACGAUAUUCUCACCAUCUGCGAGAUUUUUGUCUUCGGGACGAAGCUCGACUUUUCUGGUACGUACCAACUAGUGCAGGACAACUCCCGCCUCAAGUCUUCCGCUGUGACGUCACUAACUACGCCCUCGCCCAUUGGCUGCGCUGUGAAGUGUACCAGUGACGUCACGUGCCUCGCUUUCAACGUCAUGGCGUCAGGAAUAAGUUCACGCGGGUUUGCCUGCGAACUUCUGGGACUUGCAGAGUUUAGCCUGACACUUCAAGCCCACACCGGAUGGAGAGCUUACAGGCGCGUGGUGAAGUGAUGAAGGGAAGUAAUGGACAAACACAAUCGUUAGGAUAUGGACCCUGACACAAACUUCAGUAGUGUAGUGCACUGUAAUGAACUUUCUUCCUCAGAUUUAAUUUUCCCUGAAUGCCAUAUUGUGUCUGUCUUUUACAUGUUUGACCUACUAAUUAAUGUCAGUAGAUAGAUAAGCACUGGUGAUGAUCUCUAAUUCGCUCUCAGUCAUGUCUUCUCUAUAGGUCUUUUUUUACUUAGUCCUUUAACAUAGGUGUAUGCAUUCACUGAAUGUUUUUGCUGUGGUAAAGCACUGAAGGAAGAUCCAAGAAUAAGCAGAAAGCUGAAAGUAGACAGACUUUCCACAGUUUCAUCCUUUCCUAUCCAACUGUCUGGCACUACAAUCACCUUAUGUCCAAAGUUGAGGGUCUUGCUGUCAAUCUACACUUUUGCACACGAAAUUCAUGUCACGAUUAAGGAAUAUAUAUAUAUAUAUGUGUGCGUUUUAAUCUUUUGAAUACUAGCACAAAAUUGCUUGCAUAUUUUUAUAUUUGUUUCAUUCUUUAUGUAACUCAUUCUUUUGACCGAUAUUGGCUGACUUAUGUUGGUAAUACCAGUUAGUCGUCAAUCAUGUUAUAGCUGACAAGCCACAAACCACAUUUAACUCUUAAAUGAAGGUAACUUGUUUUUUUGUAGCUCAACUAUGGAGAUAUAUCUGCUUUGUUUUUUGUCUCGAUUUUUCUUCAUUUAUAUCAAAACACUACAAAAGUAAA